rnacentral:misc_RNA from 1 species
GAUGAAGAACGUAGCGAAAUGCGAUAAGUAAUGUGAAUUGCAGAAUUCAGUGAAUCAUCGAAUCUUUGAACGCACCUUGCGCUCCUUGGUAUUCCAAGGAGCAUGCCUGUUUGAGUAUCAUUAAAUUAUCAACUGUGCCAAUUUGGUUACAGAUUGGAUGUGGGAGAUUCUUUUUGCAGGCCUUUGACUUCUCUUUGAGAAAAAAAAUAAAAGGUCGGCUCUCCUGAAAUGUAUUAGCAGUGCCUUUGUUGGUUCAUUAGGUGUGAUAAAUUGUCUACAUCUUCGCAUGAUACCUUCAUUUGUAAAGGUCAUAUUGCUUCUAAAUUGUCUUUGAUUGGACGCAAAACAUAUAUAAUGUUUGACAAACUUGAUCUCAAAUCAGGCAGGACUACCCGCUGAACUUAAGCAUAUCAAUAACGGAGGA